rnacentral:rRNA from 1 species
UACGGAGGGGGCGAGCGUUAUUCGGAAUUACUGGGCGUAAAGCGUGCGCAGGCGGUGAUGUAAGACAGUUGUAAAAUCCCCGGGCUCAACCUGGGAACUGCAUCUGUGACUGCAUCGCUGGAGUGCGGCAGAGGGGGAUGGAAUUCCGCGUGUAGCAGUGAAAUGCGUAGAUAUGCGGAGGAACACCGAUGGCGAAGGCAAUCCCCUGGGCCUGCACUGACGCUCAUGCACGAAAGCGUGGGGAGCAAACAGG